rnacentral:rRNA from 1 species
GACGAACGCUGGCGGCGUGCUUAACACAUGCAAGUCGAGCGGAGCGGCGAACGGGUGAGUAACGGGUGAGUAACUGCCCCCCGCUCUGGGAUAACAGUUGGAAACGGGUGCUAAUACCGGAUAGCGGGGGAUGGCUCGCGUCCUAUCAGCUUGUUGGUGGGGUAGUGGCCUACCGAGGCGACGACGGGUAGCCGGCCUGGGAGGGGGACCGGCCACAUGGGGCUGAGAUACGGCGCAAACUCCUACAGGGGGCAGCGGGGGGGAAUAUUGCACAAUGGGGGAGACCGUGAUGAAGAAGCGCCGCGGGCGGAAUGAUGGCCUUCGGGUUGUAAACCGCUUUCAGCCAUGACGCGGUAGUGGCAGAAGAAGCACCGGCUAACUACGUGCCAGCAGCCGCGGUAAUUC